ACACCCUAAGGGAGAGUCGGAGUCCGAGCUGGGGCAGCCAGGGGCCGUUGAGAUUUGGGAAAGACUCAAGUGCGGUGGAGCCGGAAGGAGGGGUAAAGUUAGGGAAGGAAGUCCUUGAGUUGCAGGAGCUAGUAGUGAGGACAAGACAGCCCAGGCAGCGGGAGGAUCGCUACUGGCUAUGGGAAACUCAGGCGGGGCGGGGCUGGAGUUGCCGGGCCAGGACUACAUUCCCCAGCAUGCACUGGGCGCUCGCCUUGUGCUUCUUGGGAAAUGUAGUCCUCCCGAGGCGUAGCGCUCUAGCCUGUGCACCUGAAAGGUGGAACGCUGAUUCAUGGAUACCCAGCCCGGCGCUUUGCAUAGCGGCGCAUAAGGAGGGAAUAGGGCCUCUGUCAAACGGGCCUUAAGGCACACUCCAAUUUGAAGUUCAGUGAUGCUGCAUUCUACCAAAAGUCACAGAGGUACAUGGAAGCCCUACGGGGAUCCUGAGACACAGCAAAUACACAGAGAAGACCCCCAGGCUGACUCCUCAGUCUCAUUCCUUCCCCACUUGGAGGCCAAGAUCCGUCAGACACACAGCCUUGCCCGCCUCCUCACCAAAUAUGCUGAGCAGCUGCUCCAGGAAUAUGUGAGUGAAAAUGGGGGUCGGGGUGCCAAGGGCUUGGGGAUGGGGGAGCACAUGUCACAGCGGUCCUCCAUCACCCGUUCCCUUAAUCCAUCCCCAGCUGUGGAAAUUGAGGCUUUGGAGAGGGACAGUAGCUGGCUGCUGGCCACACAACAAGUUGGAGGAGGACCCUAUAUGAUAACCUGUCUGCCUCAGCUUGGACACUCCCUCCUUGGUGCUUAAAAUCAGAAACAGCCUGAGAGAGCAGGAACCUGAGAUUAGGUUCCAGGUGACCGUGUCACACGUGGAAGUGAACUGUUCUAACUGGAAUAUACAGAGAGGCCAAGAAAGGCAAAAAUUCUGCACCACAAGGGAACUUUUAGAGAACACAGGCGUCUGCCAAUAUUUUUGCCUAAAGAAAGAAGAUAAUCUUCUAAGCACCUUAGUGUGGUGGAAGAAGGCUGUAGUUUUGUAUCAGACAGACUGUAAACCUGCCUGAUUUAUGACAGUGGACAGUAUUUCCCCAGUGAUGAGUGUGAAAUACUGUGUUUAAAGUAACAAACGUAAUGCCUGAGCCAGAGGCAAGAUGUUUACAAAGGAAAAUGUUAUUAUAGCAUUUGACAAAUUGCAGAUCACUUUUAUCUUUCACUGUUUAUUCAAAUGACAAUUAGUGACUCAUCGAGUCCCUGCUCAAUACCUGUACAAAGGUGGGGGAGGAUGGGAAGAGGUGUGUCUUCCACGAUAGCCAAGGGGUCCUGGUAGAAAGAAAAAAGAGGGAGCAAGCAGUUUCCUCAAUAUAUAGCUAAGAAGACUGAGGCACCUAGGAGCUUUUGCCCGAGCGGCGCAACUAGUAAGUGGCCAAGGCAAGACAACAUUAAUAAAAGCAGCUAACGUUUAUGAGCCCUUGUGGGGCCGGGCCCCGUCCUAAGCACUCCACGCGCACACCCGCCCUGUGGAGCCCGCGCCGUCAAGGCUCAUU